rnacentral:rRNA from 1 species
UACGUAGGGAGCAAGCGUUGUCCGGAAUCACUGGGCGUAAAGGGCGCGUAGGCGGGAUGGCAAGUCGGUCGUGAAAUCCUUCGGCUCAACCGAAGAACGUCGGCCGAUACUGCCGUUCUUGAGGGAUGCAGAGGAGAUUGGAAUUCCCGGUGUAGCGGUGAAAUGUGUAGAGAUCGGGAGGAACACCGGUGGCGAAGGCGGGUCUCUGGGCAUCUCCUGACGCUGAGGCGCGAAAGCGUGGGGAGCAAACGGG